AGCAGCAGGCCCAGUCUCUGGUACCAGCCAUGUUCAGAAACGGGGAGGAGAGGGACCCAAACGUCACCACUGUCAGCACUGUAAGAAAUCCUUCUCAACAUCUGGAUAUUUAAAGAGUCAUCUGAGAGUUCACACUGGAGAGAAUCUCACAGCUCUGAUCAAUGUGGGAAAAGGUUUUCUGUGAGUGGUAACCUUGAAAGCACCGGCGUGUUCACACUGGAGAGAAGCCGUACUGGUGUGAUCAAUGUGGGAAAAGGUUUUCUCGCAGUAUUAGCCUUAAAAAUCACCAGCUCAUUCACUCUG